CCUACGGGGGGCAGCAGUGGGGGAUAUUGCACAAUGGGGGGAACCCUGAUGCAGCGACGCCGCGUGGGUGAAGGAGCGUUUCGGCGCGUAAAGCCCUAUCGGCAGGGAAGAAGAAGGACGGUACCUGAGUAAGAAGCCCCGGCUAACUACGUGCCAGCAGCCGCGGUAAUACGUAGGGGGCAAGCGUUAUCCGGAUUUACUGGGUGUAAAGGGAGCGUAGACGGCAGUGCAAGUCUGGAGUGAAAGGCGGGGGUUCAACCCCCGGACUGCUCUGGAAACUGUACGGCUGGAGUGCAGGAGAGGUAAGUGGAAUUCCUAGUGUAGCGGUGAAAUGCGUAGAUAUUAGGAGGAACACCAGUGGCGAAGGCGGCUUACUGGACUGUAACUGACGUUGAGGCUCGAAAGCGUGGGGAGCAAACAGGAUUAGAUACCCGAGUAGUC
rnacentral:rRNA from 1 species